ensembl:lncRNA
GUGUCUCGGCCUCCUGCUGUUAAACUGGCUGAUCGGCAGGUGGAAAGGCUGAGGAAAGCCAACGAGAAGGCAGAGCAAGCUCGAGCUAAGAUCCAAAAGAGGAAGGAGGAGUGGGCACAUCUUUAUGCGGAGAAGCCUGAUGAAAACUAUGAGGACCCUCGGGACAUCCAGGCCAUCCAGAAUGCUCGAGAGACUGUGGGGGACCGAAAGCUCAAGCCCUCUUCUGACCUCACUGUCCCCAAACAGCUGCAGCUGAACACCGAGAGGAAAAGAGAGGAGCUGACCUCACUGCAGGAGGCGAUGCGGUGCAAACAAACAGAGAUGAACACUCGGAUCAUAGCCUUACGAGACUCCAAGUUUGAGCUGGUGGCUCGUCUCCACACUUUGAGCAUAGAGUUGCAGAGGGUCCAGUGGAGGCUCCCAGCAGAGUCCCACUUGCUCUGCCCCACCCUGCCUCAUGUGCUGCCUGAGGAGACCCCUGAGAGGAGGCUGCAGUACACCCGCGCCACACUACAAACAUACAAGCAGCUGAGGGACAACUGGUCUGGAGUGAAGGAGCAGGAUCAGGAUGGAGUCUCUGACAUUCUGCAGCAGCUGGAGAAAAAGAUGGACGAGGGACAACACACUAGCAGCCAAUCAGAUGCCACAGAGAAGACUGCUAGCCAGCCAUCAGAUGCAGACCUGGAGCCAGAAGGGAAGGGGCUGGUGGAAAAUACAGGUCUGGAAAAGGAGCUCCAGAUGGAGAAACAGAUCAGGCUAUUGUAUCAACAGGACUGUAUAAUAGAACAG